rnacentral:tRNA from 2 species
GGGGCUGUAGCUCAGAUGGGAGAGCGUAUCAAUCGCACUGAUGAGGUCAGGGGUUCGAGUCCCCUCAGCUCCACCA